rnacentral:sRNA from 1 species
UUAAAUAGCACAGUGAAGUCCUUUUAUUAAUCCAGAGAACAGGUACAGCAGGGACAGUGCAAGCUUUCCCUGGCAAGUGACCUUAAUCCUGGUCUUUAGGGACAAUUUCUAGGAGCAAGGGGAAAGAGUUAUGUCUCAUUUGUGACAAGAAUGCC